rnacentral:tRNA from 1 species
UGGCUCAGUUGGUAGAGCAUGCUGCUUGCAAAAUCAUGGAUGUGGGUUCGAUUCCCAU